rnacentral:rRNA from 1 species
CGGCUGCUCAGUAACACGUAGUCAACUUACCCUAUGGACGAGGAUAAUCUCGGGAAACUGAGCAUAAUACUCGAUAGAUCAUAAUGCCUGGAAUGGUUUAUGGUUGAAAUGAUUCAUCGCCAUAGGAUGGGACUGCGGCCUAUCAGCUUGUUGGUGAGGUAAUGGCCCACCAAGGCGAUUACAGGUACGGGCUCUGAGAGGAGAAGCCCGGAGAUGGGUACUGAGACAAGGACCCAGGCCCUAUGGGGCGCAGCAGGCGAGAAAACUUUGCAAUGUGCGAAAGCACGACAAGGUUAAUCCGAGUGAUUUCUGCUAAAGAAAUCUUUUGCAAGUCAUAAAACCACUAGUGAAUAAGGGGUGGGCAAGUUCUGGUGUCAGCCGCCGCGGUAAAACCAGCACCUCAAGUGGUCAGGAGGAUUAUUGGGCCUAAAGCAUCCGUAGCCGGCUCUGUAAGUUUUCGGUUAAAUCCAUGUGCUCAACGCAUGGGCUGCCGAAAAUACUGCAUAGCUAGGGAGUGGGAGAGGUAGACGGUACCCGGUAGGAAGGGGUAAAAUCCUUUGAUCUAUCGAUGACCACCUGUGGCGAAGGCGGUCUACCAGAACACGUUCGACGGUGAGGGAUGAAAGCUGGGGGAGCAAACCGGAUUAGAUACCCGGGUAGUCCCAGCUGUAAACGAUGCAGACUCGAUGAUGCAUUGGCAUAUAGCCAGUGCAGUGUCGCAGGGAAGCCGUUAAGUCUGCCGCCUGGGAAGUACGUACGCAAGUAUGAAACUUAAAGGAAUUGGCGGGGGAGCAG